AUUACGAUAAGUUAGACUGAAAUAUUCUCUAGAACUUCAAAAAAAAAACAAAAAAAAUACAUAUUUUUGACUUCUAUAAUUAAUUUUUGGCAAAGUGAAGUGCCUAAAUGUAGUAGUAGUUUGCGAAAAUGGUUUAGUUGCAUUUUCAUAUGCAUCUAAUUUCAAUUUAUCACUUCAUAAUUCACCAACGUUAGGAUGUUUUUAAAAAAAAAAAAAAAAUAUGUGUGGAUGUACAUAUUGCAUUUUGGAGAGUGCCGUUAUCCAGUGGAGAACCUUUUUUUUUUUUCGUUUCGUUUUUUUAUAUAUAUAUCUUUAUGUAUAUAUUUGCAGUUUUGCAUGUUUUGUUUGGGUGUUCGGUGUUCUAUCCUUCGUUUGAAAAAAGUUUUCAUAUAUAUAGUGAUCAAGUCGGAGAUUUUUUUUUUUUUUUUUUUUUACUAAGUAUACAUUCAUCC
rnacentral:lncRNA from 1 species